CUACAUCUACCCUGUAGAUCCGAAUUUGUCUGCAACAAGACUACAAAUUCGGUUCUAGAGAGGUUUGUGUG
rfam:Ixodes scapularis strain Wikel colony gcontig_1108379492786, whole genome shotgun sequence.